CCUGGCACUGACUCCAGGACAAGGUUUGCUUUGGGCGCCUCCUGGCCCAGUCUAAAACAGCACCUACCUCCACGCCUCCAUUAGCCCUGGAAUGAUGCCCUUUGUGAGGGGGUGGCCCAGGGGAAUGAUGCCCUUUGUGAGGCAGCAGCAGAUUCCAAGGCUCUGUGGAGAGGGCCGGGCGGAACCUGAGCAGGGCCUGUGGAGAAGAUGGUGUCUGCCACGUUGGGAGCCCUGAACCCCAGGGCCUGGCUCAGCCUCCUCCUCUUGUACCUCAUCCUGGCAGUGAGAGUCCUGCAGCCCCAGCCCCUGAGGUGCCCCUGCCCUCCUGGGACAAGAGUGGCCUUGUGGUUCUAGGGUUCGGGGUGUGCCAAGUCCCCGUCCUAGGCCAGCCCCACUCAGGGAGGUGGCAGUGGCCUCUGGGGCCAGGCUGAGCACCCCAACCUCCCACAGGCCUGUUCUUGAGGGAACUUCCAGCCUUCCUGGAGCUGUCACAGCCACCCUCUGACCUGAUGGACGAUUGCGGGAUCCGACCCAGGCACACGGAGACCCAGGCAACUCCAGGCCCAGCAGGCGCAAGCAGAAUGGGCCGGACACAGCUGAGUAUUACUAUGGUGCCCACCAGUGACUGACGAGAACCGUCAUAAAACUGUGGUCAGCAGAGGGCUCAGGCUUUCCUGGGGAACCGAGGUAGCACGGAGGGGGCCGCAUAGACACAGGCACUGUGCUCCAGACAGGAGAUGGCACUUUAAUAGUCGUGGCCAGGGUGACAGGACCAUGGUCAGAGGCUGCCUCUCCCUGCCAGGGCCAGCGUGCCAGGCCUGCGGGUGGGAGCCAUGGCAAGAGCAGAGAACAGCAACUUCACCUUUGCCCACUGCCAUUUCCUUCCUGGAAAGUCCUUGGGAGGUGGCCAGGCUCGGCCUGAGCUCAGAGCUCUUGGUAGGGGCUGGGCCGGGGGACAGUGGGCACUUGCAGGUGGCAUGGGCUUUGUCGAGGCAGGAGCCAGGGCUCCGGCAGGGGAAGUAAGGCCGCGACAGGGCUGGGCCCGUGUCCCCAGGAUGGACAUCCUUUGAGGCCUUCCGUCCCGGGCAGCCCGCUGUCCUCCAUAGGUGGAUCUGAUCCAUAUGUUACACUUUUGUUACCAUAUCCCAUGCCUGUGUCUCCCGCCACCCCUGUCCCCCACCCUGCACCAGCGGGACCCCACUUCCAUCCUCCAGUGGUGGUAGUAUCCCUCACGAGCAGUGCUGUGACCUGUCCACAGCUUGCUGUCCUGCAUGGGCUGGGGGCCGGGGGGGGGUGCAGAGGUGGCUGCUACUCCAGGUAGAUGUCCUCCGUGGGGCAGGUGUACUCCACAAACUGCUUGUAGAACUGCUGGAAUGCGCGCCUGCAAGGCAGGGUGCCAGUAAGCAGGUCCCCAGGGCCCUGGGAAUGCUGGACCCUGUCUCCUAGGGAUUGCAUCCCCCCUGAGGGAGGUAGCAGGUAAAGGACAGACCAGCAGCCAACAAGCUUGGAUAUCCCUCCUCUAGUCACCCCACUUCGCUGGCCACCACACUGGGUCUGGAGCCCCAUGAGUUUCCAGGGGGUGCGGGGAGGCUGGGGGGUGGC
rnacentral:lncRNA from 1 species